UUGAGAGCUUACCUAGCCUCGAUAAAAUUGGAAAGAUACAAAGAAGAUUAGCAUGGCUCCUACGAAGGGGGAAAAAAAAAAAGAAGAAGAAGAAAACCUUACC